CCUUUUGUAUAAUGGGUCAGCGACUUAUAUUCUGUAGCAAGGUUAACCGAAUAGGGGAGCCGAAGGGAAACCGAGUCUUAACUGGGCGUUAAGUUGCAGGGUAUAGACCCGAAACCCGGUGAUCUAGCCAUGGGCAGGUUGAAGGUUGGGUAACACUAACUGGAGGACCGAACCGACUAAUGUUGAAAAAUUAGCGGAUGACUUGUGGCUGGGGGUGAAAGGCCAAUCAAACCGGGAGAUAGCUGGUUCUCCCCGAAAGCUAUUUAGGUAGCGCCUCGUGAAUUCAUCUCCGGGGGUAGAGCACUGUUUCGGCAAGGGGGUCAUCCCGACUUACCAACCCGAUGCAAACUGCGAAUACCGGAGAAUGUUAUCACGGGAGACACACGGCGGGUGCUAACGUCCGUCGUGAAGAGGGAAACAACCCAGACCGCCAGCUAAGGUCCCAAAGUCAUGGUUAAGUGGGAAACGAUGUGGGAAGGCCCAGACAGCCAGGAUGUUGGCUUAGAAGCAGCCAUCAUUUAAAGAAAGCGUAAUAGCUCACUGGUCGAGUCGGCCUGCGCGGAAGAUGUAACGGGGCUAAACCAUGCACCGAAGCUGCGGCAGCGACGCUGAUGCGUUGUUGGGUAGGGGAGCGUUCUGUAAGCCUGCGAAGGUGUGCUGUGAGGCAUGCUGGAGGUAUCAGAAGUGCGAAUGCUGACAUAAGUAACGAUAAAGCGGGUGAAAAGCCCGCUCGCCGGAAGACCAAGGGUUCCUGUCCAACGUUAAUCGGGGCAGGGUGAGUCGACCCCUAAGGCGAGGCCGAAAGGCGUAGUCGAUGGGAAACAGGUUAAUAUUCCUGUACUUGGUGUUACUGCGAAGGGGGGACGGAGAAGGCUAUGUUGGCCGGGCGACGGUUGUCCCGGUUUAAGCGUGUAGGCUGGUUUUCCAGGCAAAUCCGGAAAAUCAAGGCUGAGGCGUGAUGACGAGGCACUACGGUGCUGAAGCAACAAAUGCCCUGCUUCCAGGAAAAGCCUCUAAGCAUCAGGUAACAUCAAAUCGUACCCCAAACCGACACAGGUGGUCAGGUAGAGAAUACCAAGGCGCUUGAGAGAACUCGGGUGAAGGAACUAGGCAAAAUGGUGCCGUAACUUCGGGAGAAGGCACGCUGAUAUGUAGGUGAAGCGACUUGCUCGUGGAGCUGAAAUCAGUCGAAGAUACCAGCUGGCUGCAACUGUUUAUUAAAAACACAGCACUGUGCAAACACGAAAGUGGACGUAUACGGUGUGACGCCUGCCCGGUGCCGGAAGGUUAAUUGAUGGGGUUAGCGCAAGCGAAGCUCUUGAUCGAAGCCCCGGUAAACGGCGGCCGUAACUAUAACGGUCCUAAGGUAGCGAAAUUCCUUGUCGGGUAAGUUCCGACCUGCACGAAUGGCGUAAUGAUGGCCAGGCUGUCUCCACCCGAGACUCAGUGAAAUUGAACUCGCUGUGAAGAUGCAGUGUACCCGCGGCAAGACGGAAAGACCCCGUGAACCUUUACUAUAGCUUGACACUGAACAUUGAGCCUUGAUG
rnacentral:rRNA from 1 species